UUGUAAAAGCGUCUUCCAAGAUGGUUUUUGCCUCCUUGUAGUCUUCACCAUCAUUGAAACAGGUUUAAGCAGUAAUGCUAAGAGAAGAUAAAACCCUACUUUGAGGCUUCAAGCCUCAGACAGGAGCUAGAAGGUGGAUGGAGAGUGACUUCCAAGGCUGUGCAACCCGAGGACUCCGGGAUAUAAGCGGGUGGAUCCACACAGCAACUAUGAAGCAGCUGAAGAAUUUAAGACGUGGGAACAAAGACUGUGAAGGACUGUGGAAGCACACAAAGGAGAAAGGCAUUGGAGUUUCUGAAGAUCGUACAUGAAGAAGGACCUUCUGAAGAGAAACGGAACAAAAACCAGAACACUACAGAAUGUGCAGAACAUUUCGGGAUGGUGUUGCACGGUUGGUUGGCAAGACGUGGUGAGAAGCAGCACUCAAGACGCCCAUUUCACUUGGAAGGACCUUUAUUUUCCUACCCUGGGAUGACUUCUUUCAACAUGCAGGGGUCUGCUG